AACGAACGCUGGCGGCGCGCCUAAUACAUGCAAGUCGAGCGAGAAGACGUAGCAAUACGUUUGUAAAGCGGCGAACGGGUGAGGAAUACAUGGGUAACCUACCCUCGAGUGGGGAAUAACUAGCCGAAAGGUUAGCUAAUACCGCGUACGCUCCUUGGACUUCGGUUCAGGGAGGAAAGCGAUACCGUGGGUAUCGCGCUCUUGGAUGGGCUCAUGUCCUAUCAGCUUGUUGGUGAGGUAACGGCUCACCAAGGCUUCGACGGGUAGCUGGUCUGAGAGGACGAUCAGCCACACUGGCACUGCGACACGGGCCAGACUCCUACGGGAGCAGCAGUAAGGAAUAUUGCGCAAUGGGCGAAAGCCCUGACGCAGCGACGCCGCGUGGGGGA
rnacentral:rRNA from 1 species